rnacentral:lncRNA from 1 species
AUGUUUCUGCUUCCAGUAAUUCAAGUCAAUGUGGCAGAUUAUAUUUUCCAAACAUAUGGUAGUAGAGCUGGUGGAAUGAGAGAGAUUUUUGCAGCGAUCUCAGGAAAAUACAGUCUGAUGUGGUCAGAUAUUUUCUUCCUUUUUGUGAAUUUGAAAUUUCCACCAAUCAGAACACUGAACAGGGAUCCUUUUACUGUAUGGCUGCCUUUGCAUACACCAACGAACUCACGUGUUCACCUGUAUCUGCAUCGAUUAGAAAUUGCACUUCCAGGAAAUAAAAGAAAAGUAAAAUAA